rnacentral:rRNA from 1 species
GACGAACGCUGGCGGCGUGCUUAACACAUGCAAGUCGAACGGAGUGGCGAACGGGUGAGUAACACGUGGGUGAUCUGCCUUGCACUUCGGGAUAAGCUUGGGAAACUGGGUCCAAAACCGGAUAGGUCAAGAUGAGCUCGCGGCCUAUCAGCUUGUUGGUGGGGUAAUGGCCUACCAAGGCGUCGACGGGUAGCCGGCCUGAGAGUGUGUACGGCCACAAUGGGACUGAGAUACGGCCCAGGCUCCUACGGGGGGCAGCAGUGGGGAAUAUGGUACAAUGGGCGGAAGCCUGAUGCAGCGACGCCGGGUGGGGGAUGAAGGCCUUCGGGUUGUAAACUCCUUUCGACAGGGACGCGGUACCUGGAUAAGAAGCACCGGCUAACUACGUGCCAGCAGCCGCGGUAAUUC